rnacentral:rRNA from 1 species
GUGGGGAAUCUUGCGCAAUGGGCGAAAGCCUGAAGCAGCCAUGCCGCGUGAAUGAUGAAGGUCUUAGGAUUGUAAAAUUCUUUCACCGGGGACGAUAAUGACGGUACCCGGAGAAGAAGCCCCGGCUAACUUCGUGCCAGCAGCCGCGGUAAUACGAAGGGGGCUAGCGUUGCUCGGAAUUACUGGGCGUAAAGGGCGCGUAGGCGGACAGUUUAGUCAGAGGUGAAAGCCCAGGGCUCAACCUUGGAAUUGCCUUUGAUACUGGCUGUCUUGAGUACGGGAGAGGUGAGUGGAACUCCGGGUGUAGAGGUGAAAUUCGUAGAUAUUCGGAAGAACACCAGUGGCGAAGGCGACUCACUGGCCCGUUACUGACGCUGAGGCGCGAAAGCGUGGGGAGCAAACAGGAUUAGAAACCCUAGUAGUCC